CUACGGGCGGCAGCAGUGGGGAAUACUGCACAAUGGGCGCAAGCCUGAUGCAGCCAUGCCGCGUGUAUGAAGAAGGCCUUCGGGUUGUAAAGUACUUUCAGUAGGGAGGAAGGUGGUUAAGUUAAUACCUUAAUCAUUUGACGUUACCUACAGAAGAAGCACCGGCUAACUCCGUGCCAGCAGCCGCGGUAAUACGGAGGGUGCAAGCGUUAAUCGGAAUUACUGGGCGUAAAGCGCAUGCAGGUGGUUUGUUAAGUCAGAUGUGAAAGCCCUGGGCUCAACCUAGGAAUCGCAUUUGAAACUGACAAGAUAGAGUACUGUAGAGGGGGGUAGAAUUUCAGGUGUAGCGGUGAAAUGCGUAGAGAUCUGAAGGAAUACCGGUGGCGAAGGCGGCCCCCUGGACAGAUACUGACACUCAGAUGCGAAAGCGUGGGGAGCAAACAGGAUUAGAUACCCCAGUAGUC
rnacentral:rRNA from 1 species